UGCUUGGGAAUCACAGAAUUCUGGCAAAGGAGAGAAAGAUGGUAAAAUGACAGCGAAGGGAGCACAAUGCCUUCGUGGUGGUGAGACCAGGACAUCCUCCCCUGCCCGGGCAGCGUGUGUCCUGUUGUGAGCACCACUUUUACUGUGUGCAAACCAGAAGCCUGAGAUGCUACUGAGCAGCCUGAGCACAUCAGGGACCAGCUGACUGAGCCGCCAGUCGAGCCGAGAUCCGGGGGCGAGGCGAAGGCUUGUCAGCUGCGGGUUUAGGGAUUUGCAGGCGGUUGGGAAGAAGAGAAAGUUGCAGCUUACCGAAACUCUCCUGCGCCGUGCCGAGCCGUGUGCGAGCCUCCCUGCCGCCCAGGCGGCGGGGUCGCUUAUAUAGCCCGGCGUGUAGCUUAGAGGAUGGCAGCGAGCCACGGACCGCGAGCACAAACAGAUCGGACGCGCGAGGAAACCGCAGCCUGAAUAAUCCCUUAAUAAGGUGAUGGUAAACAAAAACUUGCGGCGAAGCAGCAGCCACCGGGGCUGGCAGCGAUGC